rnacentral:rRNA from 1 species
AGAGUUUGAUCCUGGCUCAGGAUGAACGCUAGCUACAGGCUUAACACAUGCAAGUCGAGGGGCAGCAUGGUCUUAGCUUGCUAAGGCCGAUGGCGACCGGCGCACGGGUGAGUAACACGUAUCCAACCUGCCGUCUACUCUUGGACAGCCUUCUGAAAGGAAGAUUAAUACAAGAUGGCAUCAUGAGUCCGCAUGUUCACAUGAUUAAAGGUAUUCCGGUAGACGAUGGGGAUGCGUUCCAUUAGAUAGUAGGCGGGGUAACGGCCCACCUAGUCUUCGAUGGAUAGGGGUUCUGAGAGGAAGGUCCCCCACAUUGGAACUGAGACACGGUCCAAACUCCUACGGGAGGCAGCAGUGAGGAAUAUUGGUCAAUGGGCGAGAGCCUGAACCAGCCAAGUAGCGUGAAGGAUGACUGCCCUAUGGGUUGUAAACUUCUUUUAUAAAGGAAUAAAGUCGGGUAUGGAUACCCGUUUGCACGUACUUUAUGAAUAAGGAUCGGCUAACUCCGUGCCAGCAGCCGCGGUAAUACGGAGGAUCCGAGCGUUAUCCGGAUUUAUUGGGUUUAAAGGGAGCGUAGAUGGAUGUUUAAGUCAGUUGUGAAAGUUUGCGGCUCAACCGUAAAAUUGCAGUUGAUACUGGAUAUCUUGAGUGCAGUUGAGGCAGGCGGAAUUCGUGGUGUGGCGGUGAAAUGCUUAGAUAUCACGAAGAACUCCGAUUGCGAAGGCAGCCUGCUAAGCUGCAACUGACAUUGAGGCUCGAAAGUGUGGGUAUCAAACAGGAUUAGAUACCCUGGUAGUCCACACGGUAAACGAU